rnacentral:rRNA from 1 species
CGGCCCCUCGAGUGGUGGGGAUGAUUAUUUGGCCUAAAGCGUCCGUAGCCGGCCGUGUAAGUCCCCCGUUAAAUCCAGCGUCUCAAGCGUUGGACUGCGGGAGAUACUGCUCGGCUAGAGAGUGGGAGAGGUGUGCGGUAUUCUGGGGGUAGGGGCGAAAUCCUUUGAUCCCCGGAGGACCACCAGUGGCGAAGGCUGCACACUAGAACACGUCUGACGGUCAGGGACGAAAGCUGGGGUAGCGAACCGGAUUAGAUACCCGAGUAGUCC